rnacentral:rRNA from 1 species
UACGUAGGGGGCAAGCGUUGUCCGGAAUCAUUGGGCGUAAAGCGCGCGUAGGCGGCCAGAUAAGUCCGGUGUGAAAGUCACAGGCUCAACCUGUGAAUGCCGCUGGAAACUGUCUGGCUUGAGUCCGGAAGGGGCGAGUGGAAUUCCCGGUGUAGCGGUGAAAUGCGCAGAUAUCAGGAGGAACACCAAUGGCGAAGGCAGCUCGCUGGAACGGUACUGACGCUGAGGCGCGAAAGCGUGGGGAGCGAACAGG